rnacentral:lncRNA from 1 species
GAGGUGAUUAGGCAUGACAUGACUAGAAUGUAGGUUUCCGAGGAUAUGACUGUUGAUAGGAGAGUCUGGAGGUCUAGGAUCAGGGUUGUAGGUUAGGGGCUCCUAGAGUUCUUCGUAGUUACUGUAUGAUAUUAUUGCAUGCGAUUGUAUUUAGGUUCCUUAUGUUUAGAUAAUUAUUUCCGCUAUUUCUGCUAUUUCUGCGGGUGAUACUGACGCUCUAUUUUUAUUGUUUUUGUUUUUGUUUUACAGCUGAUUUUCCUUUUUCCUAUGAGCCGAGGGUCGAUUGGAAACAGCCUCUCUGUCAUUUCGGGUAGGGGUAAGGCUCGUCUACAUAUUACCCUCCCCAGACCCCCACUUUGUGGGACUAUACUGGGUAGUUGUUGUUGUUGUUNNNNNNNGGUAGGGGUAAGGCUCGUCUACAUAUUACCCUCCCCAGACCCCACCUGGUGGAAGUAUACUGGGUAGUUGUUGUUGUUGUUGUUGUUGCUAAUGGAGUCAGGUCAGAAGCCUAGAGAGUCAUUGUAUUAGAAGAG